UACGUAGGGUGCAAGCGUUGUCCGGAAUUAUUGGGCGUAAAGAGCUCGUAGGCGGUUUGUCGCGUCUGCUGUGAAAACUCAGGGCUUAACCCUGAGCCUGCAGUGGGUACGGGCAGACUAGAGUGUGGUAGGGGAGAUCGGAAUUCCUGGUGGUAGCGGUGGAAUGCGCAGAUAUCAGGAGGAACACCGGUGGCGAAGGCGGAUCUCUGGGCCAUAACUGACGCUGAGGAGCGAA
rnacentral:rRNA from 1 species